UAGGGAAUCUUCCGCAAUGGACGCAAGUCUGACGGAGCAACGUCGCGUGAGUGAAGAAGGAUUUCGGUUCGUAAAACUCUGUUGUUAGAGAAGAACAGCGCAUAGAGUAACUGUUAUGCGUGUGACGGUAUCUAACCAGAAAGCCACGGCUAACUACGUGCCAGCAGCCGCGGUAAUACGUAGGUGGCGAGCGUUGUCCGGAUUUAUUGGGCGUAAAGCGAGCGCAGGCGGUCAAUUAAGUCUGAUGUGAAAGCCCCCGGCUCAACCGGGGAGGGUCAUUGGAAACUGGUUGACUUGAGUGCAGAAGAGGAGAGUGGAAUUCCAUGUGUAACGGUGAAAUGCGUAGAUAUAUGGAGGAACACCAGUGGCGAAGGCGACUCUCUGGUCUGUAACUGACGCUGAGGCUCGAAAGCGUGGGUAGCAAACAGG
rnacentral:rRNA from 1 species